rnacentral:rRNA from 1 species
CGCUAGCGACAGGCUUCACACAUGCAAGUCGAGGGGCAGCGGGGGUGUAGCAAUACAUUUGCCGGCGACCGGCGCACGGGUGCGUAACGCGUAUGCAACCUACCUUCAAGAGGGGGAUAAUCCGUCGAAAGGCGGUCUAAUAUCCCAUAACACAGGGGCUCCGCAUGGAGAUAUUUGUUAAAGGAGUAAUCCGCUUGAAGACGGGCAUGCGUUCCAUUAGGCAGUUGGCAGGGUAACGGCCUACCAAACCUACGAUGGAUAGGGGUUCUGAGAGGAAGGUCCCCCACACUGGUACUGAGACACGGACCAGACUCCUACGGGAGGCAGCAGUGAGGAAUAUUGGUCAAUGGCCGUAAGGCUGAACCAGCCAAGUCGCGUGAAGGAAGAAGGAUCUAUGGUUCGUAAACUUCUUUUACGGGGGAAUAAGAGAGGGGGAUGUAUCCCCCUGUGCAUGUACCCCGUGAAUAAGCAUCGGCUAACUCCGUGCCAGCAGCCGCGGUAAUACGGAGGAUGCGAGCGUUAUCCGGAUUUAUUGGGUUUAAAGGGUGCGUAGGUGGGGAUUUAAGUCAGCGGUGAAAGCUGGUCGCUUAACGAUAAGAUUGCCGUUGAAACUGGAUUUCUUGAGUAUGUUUGAGGCAGGCGGAAUGUGUGGUGUAGCGGUGAAAUGCAUAGAUAUCACGCAGAACUCCGACAGCGAAGGCAGCUUGCCAAGCCAUAACUGACACUGAAGCACGAAAGCGUGGGUAUCAAACAGGAUUAGAUACCCUGGUAGUCCACGCGGUAAACGAUGAUAACUGGGAGUUGGCGAUAUACGGUCAGUUCUACAGCGAAAGCGUUAAGUUAUCCGCCUGGGGAGUACGCCGGCAAC